CAGGUACUCCCUCUGACCCAUAUUACUUGUCUCAAAUUUUCCAAAAUAUGGAUGUAUCUAUGUUUAAAAAGCGUCUAGAUACAUGCAAUAUUUUGAGAAGUAAUAUGGGUCGGAGGGAGUAAAAG
rfam:Brachypodium distachyon strain Bd21 chromosome 1, whole genome shotgun sequence.